UGGAAAUUUAUAUACUUCUCUGAGCCUCAUGCUUUUCAUUUGCAAAACGGGCUAAUACCUCUUCGCACUGUGGUUGGGAUGCCUAACGAGAGCCUGGAGGUAACACCUGGCCCCUAGCCUGGUGCUUCAGCAGUGGAGGCCCAGAAGGGAGGAUAAGAGUGCUUACCUCUGAGGAUGCCUGACCACCACAAUGCAGUUCCUUCAAGAUAUUUAUCUUAAGAAUAUUUUCCAGUUCAGGAAAAGUGACUCCAGCAAGUGCUAUCUCUAAAGGGUCUACAGAGAUUUGACCUGACUGGCAACGGCUCCAGCUCCCCAGCAGUGCACCCCCGGCGACACCCAGUACGGAGGAGGCUGUGCUGCAGGCAGUGGAGGGUGCAGGUACACAUGUCUCCGGAGGGGUUGAUGUCCAGGAGCCUAAUGCUUCAGAGCCUGGCGUCUAAGGGGGUGUGUGGGUGGCAGCAGAUGAAUGGUAUGAACAUAUAUAAGAAAAUUUGCAG
rnacentral:lncRNA from 1 species